rnacentral:sRNA from 1 species
GAAAAAAGGAAGUGGGUGUAGGAUUUAUGCAACAUUUGAAGAAUGAAUUGGACGGUGUGGAUCGAAUGGUACAAGUGUGGUUAGAAUGCGACUGCGAAACAUACACUAAGACCAUCUUUAUUGGAGGUAUUUCAUAAGAGUUUUUCACAAUUAAAAAAAUAAAAAUAAUGAAAAUGAAGAAGAGAGAGUGUAGAAAGUUUCUCACUUGAGAAAUUCUGAAAUACUCUCUACAACCCAUCAUGACAAUUCUCAUCUCACUAUUGGUUCAAUUUUUUAACAAAUA